ACUGAGAACGAGAAGAAGAAGAUGGUUUGAUUUUAUUAUGUAGUUCGUCAUGUGAUAUAAUUAUCAUAAAUGAGAGGAAAAUAAAAGAAAUAUUUGUUUAGAUUGCAAGAAAUAGGGAUAUCCAAGGAUUUUGAUGGGAAACUAAUAGUUUUAUUAGUACUUGUAGUGGGAGUGAAGAAAUAUAGAGAAGUCGAUGCAUCUAUUGCAAGUAAUGUAAAAGAGGGCAUCCAAGUGGAUACAACAAGUUAUCAACAGCGUUUCCUAUCCAUUCAUUGCACUUUUAUGGAAAGUCUUUACGCAAACUCAUAGGUCCAUGCUUGCCAAAUUUGGAAGGUGCGGUAGAGAGUUUAUCCAAUUUCGUUUUCAUCUAGAUGUUUCAAGUUUUCAAAUUGGAAAUCUUAUACAAUAAAGUUGACUUGCCUCUCUCCUUAUGAAGCCACUUCAUCAAUGUCCAUAGGGCAAAUUUGGACACCUGUCCAUAUCUAAUUUCCGUGAGCCACCUCUCUUGAUUUCAAUUUGGGCCGUCUAUGUUUGGUUGAGAUGACGAGACCCAAACUCUCUUUUGAACAGAAAAGCCCUAGCUAACUUCUCUCCUCCUUUGACGGUUGUCGUCUCCCUUUUCGAUUCCUCUGUAACGCUUUUCUUCGACAUUGAAACUUAUCAUUAUGAUUUGCCAUUAAAUUUAUCAUUCCAGCUCUCCCACUACGUUGAAUUUUAUCACCCCUUUCCUAACCUCUAUCGCUAAUCUCUAAUUUGUUCCACUACAAAUAGAGAUGCAGCAAACUCAGAAUCUCACAGGGUCACCUGGUUGGACCCUUCUCCUUCCUUACAAAACAACCUGCAAAAAUGAUCGGAACGUCGAGCAAUGAGGCGGAGCUUACGGAAGUUGACAUUCUUCUGCUUGAUGAGAAGGUUAGACUCAUAUUUUCUCAUUCAUUACGCAUAUUCGUUUUCCUAUUCGUCAACAUAUACUUACAGUGGCGUUUCAUGUUUUCACUCUCCCAAGUCCACUCUUCUGCAAGCGUCUAUCAUUGUGCAUCGGUUUAACAGUUUUACACACUUUCUGGAGUGGUUUUGAUGUUACAAGAGUAACAUCGACUGCAAGCUGUCAGAUUCCCUGUCGUCAUUCGCUUCAAAAAUCUUACGGAGUUUGUUGAAAUCACAACUCCUCCUCCUGCAAUACCUCUUGAGCUCUUUAGGUUCCAUGACUACGGCCAGCCCAUUGCAUUACUCAAUACUAACCAUCAGUUUCCAGGUGAAUCAGUUUACUUCCAUUAACUCAAAAAGUCUGAGAUUUAGCAUACAGCCAUACAACGUUAACCAACUCAACCACUUGCUUCCUAGACGUCUUAAGGUUUGUUGGUGUGAUCAAUUCUACGUUUAGUGACCAUGAUGGACCUCAAACCAGACACCCCCAUCCGGUGGCUUCACAGCACAACUGUGAGGGGAGCAAUCCAGGGGAAGACCAAGUUUUAAGUUGCAAGAAACACCCCCAACAAGAGGCACAUAGAGCAAUCGACGUGGAGCCGAUACUAUUUCUCUUUGGUUUCAUUGCAAUGUUUUUUCCCCAAAUAUUCUCAGUAUUUUGUUUCUUUAACAUGUUUGCAUCUUCAGCUCAGUAUUUGGUUUCAUUUGUAUGCUAUUUCUUUGGAGCUUAACUAUAAUGUUGUUGUUUUUUCUAAAAAAUAAACAUAUGGUUUGCUUGACC